rnacentral:rRNA from 1 species
UACGAAGGGGGCUAGCGUUGCUCGGAAUCACUGGGCGUAAAGGGCGCGUAGGCGGCCAUUCAAGUCGGAGGUGAAAGCCCAGGGCUCAACCCUGGAAUUGCCUUCGAUACUGUUUGGCUAGAGACCGGAAGAGGUAAGUGGAACUGCGAGUGUAGAGGUGAAAUUCGUAGAUAUUCGCAAGAACACCAGUGGCGAAGGCGGCUUACUGGUCCGGUUCUGACGCUGAGGCGCGAAAGCUAGGGGAGCAAACGGG